rnacentral:ncRNA from 2 species
ACGCGCGCUCCGGGGUCGGUGAAAUUCCGAACCGGCGGUGACAGUCCGCGACCCGUCCGCAGGUACUGGGACGGCUGACCCGGUGGAAUUCCGGGACCGACGGUGAAAGUCCGGAUGGGAGGACGCGCGC